CAGGAUUUAUUCUGUUUUCCCCCAUUGCUCUGGGCAAUAGCAUAGAGCUUGUGUGCAUCCAACUCUUGGUACAACUGAGCAGGAUACUUUGAUACGUAGAAAACUUUGCUUAAGUUGAGGCAAUGUCCUUUGGACACACAUUUAAAUGACAUAACAGGAGUUCUGUUGUGAAGUUCAGGACAAGUUUGAGUGCUCUGGAGGGUAACUUCAUCUGUUUUUUCAUAGCUCAUUAACAUGGAUUUGUCCUAAAGACAGUGCCUUAAAAAUGGAAACCUCUUGUAUUCAAACCAGCAGAUAAAAGAUUCUCCUUUAAAGAAAAAGAAAAAAAAGAAAAAAAGAAAAAAGAAAGAAAAAAGAGAAGAAAGCAAUGUACAGAUUACAUUAUUUUGGCACUGGAACAGAAAUACCCCAAACUAAACCCCAGAAUGAAAGCAAGGCAACUCCCCUUGGCCCUGCCCAUCCUUCCCCCUGCCCUCCUGCCCACUCUACCUACAAGAAGACGGAAGGAGACAGUUUUUGAAAGCACCCAGCUGUAAUUGGUGAGCACGCUUGUCCAGGGAGCCAUCCCAUGGCACAGAAUGGGCUUCAGCUCCUCUCCAUCUGGCACAGGACGGCUAUGAGAGCAGAGACUGCCACCCACCAAUCACACCUUCCCACCUCUAGAGUAGACAAAGAUGGCUCUUUAGGUCAUUUUAUUUUAUUUCUUUGUUGUUUCCCCCCCCCUUUUUUUUUCUCCUCCCCCCGUUUUUUUUUUUUUUUUACAAAAAUUUCUACAUCUAAAUCACUUUGCUAUAGAAACAUUAUUUUCUUUCCUUUUUUUUUUUUUUUUUUUUUUUACAUUAGUUAAAGCAGAACCUGCUUUUGUGAAAAAAGACAAGGAUCAAGGUCUUAUUUCAUGCAGAAAAUGCAAAUUAAAGAACAUAAAAAUG
rnacentral:lncRNA from 1 species